UACAGGGGGGGCCAGCGUUGUUCGGAAUUACUGGGCGUAAAGGGCCAGUAGGCGGCCACCUAAGUCCGACGUGAAAUCCCCAGGCUUAACCUGGGAACUGCGUCGGAUACUGGAUGGCUUGAAUUCGGGAGAGGGAUGCAGAAUUCCAGGUGUAGCGGUGAAAUGCGUAGAUAUCAGGAGGAACACCGGUGGCGAAGGCGGGUCUCUGGGCCGAUACUGACGCUGAGGAGCGAAAGCGUGGGGAGCGAACAGG
rnacentral:rRNA from 1 species